rnacentral:tRNA from 2 species
GGUCCUAUGGGGUAGUGGUUAUCCCACCGGAUUUUGAUGAACAAUAUAUUCAACCAAUAUAUAGAACGAAGUCAAAUCUUCCGGUAACGCCGGUUCGAAUCCGGCUAGGACCU